rnacentral:rRNA from 1 species
CGUAGGGGGCUAGCGUUGUCCGGAUUUAUUGGGCGUAAAGAGCGUGUAGGCGGCCAUGUAGGUCCGGUGUGAAAACUCGAGGCUUAACCUCGAGAUGUCAUCGGAAACCAUUUGGCUAGAGUCCGGAAGAGGAGAGUGGAAUUCCUGGUGUAGCGGUGAAAUGCGCAGAUAUCAGGAAGAACACCAAUGGCGAAAGCAGCUCUCUGGGACGGUACUGACGCUGAGACGCGAAAGCGUGGGGAGCGAACAGGAAUAGAUACCCUGGUAGUCCACGCCGUAAACGAUGGGCGCUAGGUGUGGGCGGUGUCGACUCCGUCCGUGCCGAAGCUAACGCAUUAAGCGCCCCGCCUGGGGAGUACGGCCGCAAGGCUA